rnacentral:rRNA from 1 species
GCAUAAAAAGUAUUAGAGGCACUGCCUGCCCAGUGACUUUAGUUUAACGGCCGCGGUAUCCUGACCGUGCAAAGGUAGCAUAAUCACUUGUUCUCUAAAUAAGGACUUGUAUGAACGGCUUAACGAGGGUUUUACUGUCUCUUACUUUCAAUCAGUGAAAUUGAUAUUCCCGUGAAGAGGCGUGAAUAAAAAAAUAAGACGAGAAGACCCUAUGGAGCUUCAAUUAAUCAACUUAUAAGUUACAAUAAUAUUCUAUUAGAAAUUAAAUUUUAUUUAGUUAAGUUGACAAUUUAGGUUGGGGUGACCUCGGAAUAAAAAUCAACUCCCGAGAAAUUUCAAUCGAGACAAACAAGUCAAAUCUAUUCUAUUAUAUAUUGAUCCGUUAAUUUUAAACGACCAACGAAACAAGUUACCCUAGGGAUAACAGCGCAAUCCUAUUUAAGAGUCCAUAUCGACAAUUAGGGUUUACGACCUCGAUGUUGGAUCAGGACAUCCCAAUGGUGCAGCCGCUAUUAACGUGUUCGUUUGUUCAACGAUUAAAGUCCU